rnacentral:rRNA from 1 species
GACGAACGCUGGCGGCGUGCCUAAUACAUGCAAGUAGAACGCUGAAGGAGGAGCUUGCUUCUCCGGAUGAGUUGCGAACGGGUGAGUAACGCGUAGGUAACCUGCCUGGUAGCGGGGGAGAACUAUUGGAAACGAUAGCUAAUACCGCAUAACAGUAGAUAUUGCAUGAUAUCUGCUUGAAAGGUGCAAUUGCAUCACUACCAGAUGGACCUGCGUUGUAUUAGCUAGUUGGUGAUGUAACGGCUCACCAAGGCGACGAUACAUAGCCGACCUGAGAGGGUGAUCGGCCACACUGGGACUGAGACACGGCCCAGACUCCUACGGGAGGCAGCAGUAGGGAAUCUUCGGCAAUGGACGGAAGUCUGAACGAGCAACGCCGCGGGAGGGAAGAAGGUUUUCGGAUCGGAAAGAUCUGUUGUAAGAGAAGAACGAGAGUGAGAGUGGAAAGUUCACACUGUGACGGUAUCUUACCAGAAAGGGACGGCUAACUACGUG